rnacentral:rRNA from 1 species
CCAUACGACCGUACCGCAAACCGACACUGGUGCGCGAGAUGAGUAUUCUAAGGCGCUUGAGAGAACUCAGGAGAAGGAACUCGGCAAAUUGACACCGUAACUUCGGAAGAAGGUGUGCCCUAUUAGUGUGUAGUGAACAACGAAGCAUGAAUGGGUUGCAAAAAAUCGGUGGCUGCGACUGUUUAUUAAAAACACAGCACUCUGCAAACACGAAAGUGGACGUAUAGGGUGUGACGCCUGCCCGGUGCUGGAAGAUUAAAUGAUGGGGUGCAAGCUCUUGAUUGAAGUCCCAGUAAACGGCGGCCGUAACUAUAACGGUCCUAAGGUAGCGAAAUUCCUUGUCGGGUAAGUUCCGACCUGCACGAUUGGCGUAACGAUGGCCACACUGUCUCCUCCUGAGACUCAGCGAAGUUGAAAUGUUUGUGAUGAUGCAAUCUCCCCGCGGAAAGACGGAAAGACCCCAUGAACCUUUACUGUAGCUUUGUAUUGGACUUUGAACAGAUCUGUGUAGGAUAGGUGGGAGGCUUUGAAGCAGGGUCGCUAGAUCUUGUGGAGCCAACGUUGAAAUACCACCCUGGUGUGUUUGAGGUUCUAACCUAGGUCCAUUAUCUGGAUCGGGGACAGUGCAUGGUAGGCAGUUUGACUGGGGCGGUCUCCUCCCAAAGCGUAACGGAGGAGUUCGAAGGUACGCUAGUUACGGUCGGACAUCGUGACGAUAGUGCAAUGGCAUAAGCGUGCUUAACUGCGAGACUGACAAGUCGAGCAGAUGCGAAAGCAGGACAUAGUGAUCCGGUGGUUCUGUAUGGAAGGGCCAUCGCUCAACGGAUAAAAGGUACUCUGGGGAUAACAGGCUGAUACCGCCCAAGAGUUCAUAUCGACGGCGGUGUUUGGCACCUCGAUGUCGGCUCAUCUCAUCCUGGGGCUGUAGCCGGUCCCAAGGGUAUGGCUGUUCGCCAUUUAAAGAGGUACGUGAGCUGGGUUUAAAACGUCGUGAGACAGUUUGGUCCCUAUCUUCCGUGGGCGCUGCAGAUUUGAGGAAGCCUGCUCCUAGUACGAGAGGACCGGAGUGGACACACCUCUGGUGUAUCGGUUGUCACGCCAGUGGCAUUGCCGAGUAGCUAAGUGUGGAAGAGAUAACCGCUGAAAGCAUCUAAGCGGGAAACUCGUUUCAAGAUGAGAUCUGCCGGGGCCUUGAGCCCCCUAAAGAGUCGUUCAAGACCAGGACGUUGAUAGGUCAGGUGUGGAAGCG